AUUUGGUGAGUUUAGCUUAUGGCAUGACAAUCUUAAACGCUAUGCUUUUAUUUGAUUAACAUGCAUCUCAACAAAAGAAUGGCCUAGAGUAGUUGAUUUGUCCUCGUUGCAACUGCAAACAUGAACCACAUUUGAAUCAUCUUUAUCGGGUACACUGUUUUAUUCUUGGCAUUAUGUCUAAAGGCAUGUUGCUGUUCUAGUGAUUCUUUGCUGUCAGAUAAUACUAUUGAGAUUUUGGAAAGACCUGAAAAAGGUUCCUAGAAGCAGAUUUAUUCAAAGGCAAUGACCCAUCUUGUUGCUUAGUGCUCUCCUAGUUCUAUCUAAUGCUGUAGCUGGCAAGUUGGUCACAAACUUCCAACCUUCUUAGCAUUUUAAAUGUAAUUUAUUUGAUAAAAGGAAUAUUGCAAAACAAUCAUUGCCAUUGGGCUAGUAGCUCAGUAUCAGUGAUCAAUGUUUACCUAGUGUACAAAUUUCUGAUGUACCUAAAAAGGGAAUCCUGACAUAUGGCAAAAUAUACAUUUUUGUCAUCAUAUUUCCAAAUUGACUCAUACGGUCUCUUACUUUUUAAAUUCUUUGCACUUUAGUCUUUCUGUUAAAAUAUUAUAUGCCUUUGUCCUUAAGUUUGAGUGAAAUGAAAUGAAGCGGCUUUUUGGUUCCUAAAAAUUUGAACUAAUGUGUACAAUAUUAUGAAUUAAAUAGUUGUUUCAUUAAAAGCAUAGGGACUGAAGUGUGUUAUGUUUCAUGGAAGUGUAAGAAAUUUAAAAAGUUA
rnacentral:misc_RNA from 1 species